rnacentral:rRNA from 1 species
CACACUGGAACUGAGACACGGUCCAGACUCCUACGGGAGGCAGCAGUGGGGAAUAUUGCACAAUGGGCGAAAGCCUGAUGCAGCCAUGCCGCGUGUAUGAAGAAGGCCUUCGGGUUGUAAAGUACUUUCAGUUGUGAGGAAGGGGGUGUCGUUAAUAGCGGCAUCUCUUGACGUUAGCAACAGAAGAAGCACCGGCUAACUCCGUGCCAGCAGCCGCGGUAAUACGGAGGGUGCGAGCGUUAAUCGGAAUUACUGGGCGUAAAGCGCAUGCAGGUGGUUCAUUAAGUCAGAUGUGAAAGCCCGGGGCUCAACCUCGGAACUGCAUUUGAAACUGAUGAACU